UAUAUAUUCACUUGCUUCGACUAAAAACCCUAGCCUGCUCUCUGCCUCUCUCUCUCUCUCUCUCCGUCCGUCUCUCUCGUUGUCAUGUAAUUUUGUGAGUGUUACUCCAGAAUCCCUCGAUUUCCUAGAUAAGAGUUGCAAAAGCCAUGUUAUUUUUGGGCCUAAACCAACCUCGAGGCUUUGGUGAUUCGAGGUUGGCUUGGGGAGUGGGAGAUCUGUUGUAGAGUUUUCCGACGACGACGUAGAUUUGGAUCUACGAGGCAUCAAAGGCGUUCAAUGGAGCAGGGGAGUUGGCCUGAGCCUAGAGCUUGGGGUGCUCGCGGAUUUUGUUGUGGGUUGGAGGGUAUGUUGUUUAACAUUCAUGUGCUUUCCCCCUUCUCACUCUGGACUUUUAUGUGCAGGGAUUUGUCUUACAACUAUUUAUCAACAAGUCUUCCCCCAUGGGUAACCUCAAUAUCUGAGCUGGAUUUACCACUCGAUCAGUGUUGUAUUCUCUAAACUCUAAAGCGAAGGGAUCAUGCAUAUGGGAUCCUGAGGAAAACAGAUAUCUCGACUUUUUUGUAGCUUACUCUGCUGUUAACCAGGAUGUUGCUGUUAAGGUAUUCUUCAAGCAAGAAUAUCCAGAUGAUGUGCUUCUUUCUUUUAGACAACAACACUUCUUGGGCUGACAGGUGCCUCUCAUCUCAAUUUUUCUUACUGGAGACGACGUGUUCAAAUGGCUUUGGAUAUAGCACGAGGCAUGAAUUAUCUUCAUCAUUUCAACCCCUUUAAUUAUUCAUCGAGAUCUGAAGUCUUCAAAUCCCCUAGUUGAUAAGAACUGGACUGUCAAGGCAGGGUUGAAGGUUCCUCUUUCUACUCGAUCUCAUUAUACACCCCCUCUCUUUAUAUUUCAGUAAGGGGAUGUUUACUUUGGAGACAAAGGUGGGCUGAUCUUUGUGCGUUUGCCAAAUCUGGUAGAGAUCCAUGUUGGUCAGAUUUCCAACGGAACCUACUUUUAAAUUGUUCCAUGGAAAUAAAGGGAGUUGGAAUCAGAUCGCAUAUAAAAGUUGCCGGAGGUAGCAGAUGCAGCGUGGAGAGGAACAUGAAGAGAUUCAAGUUUUUUUUAUGUUGUAUUUUAUUUGAAAUUGUAUACGAAUUGUACAAUACAUUUUAGAAAUAUGUGGUUGUAGCUAGACCAAAUUGUUAUUUUUUUUAUAUUUACUCCCAAUCUUGCCACUGAUGUUGGUGGCAUUGAGAAUACACACUGAUUCAGUAACAGUGGGAAAGAAAAAGGUAUCUUGCAGCA